rnacentral:rRNA from 1 species
GCAAGUCGAACGGAAACGAUGGAAGCUUGCUUCCAGGCGUCGAGUGGCGGGCGGGUGAGUAGUACUUAGGAAUCUGCCCAUUAGUGGGGGACAACUCGGGGAAACUCGAGCUAAUACCGCAUACGCUGUACGGGGGAAAGCGGAGGACCUUUUGGGGCUUCGCGCUACUGGAUGAGCCUAAGCCGGAUUAGCUAGUUGGUAGGGUAAAAGCCCACCAAGGCGACGAUCCGUAGCUGGUCUGAGAGGACGAUC